rnacentral:lncRNA from 10 species
CGUGGUGGGCGCUUUGGUUCCAGAAGAGGCCCAAGAGGAGGGUUCAGGCUCUUUGUGCCACAUAUCCCAUUUGAUUUCCAUCUGUGUGAAAUGGCCUUCCCAGGGGUCAAGCCAGCACCUGAUGAAAUGUCCUUCAGUGAGGCCUUGCUGAAGAGAGAUCAGUACCUGGCUCCCAACUCUGCUGAACAGGACUCUGUCCUUUCUCUGGUGACAAAAAUAAACAACGUGACUGAUAAUUUGAUUGUGGCUCUAAUUUGAAGUGCAAAUUCAAGAAGUCUGACAGGUGGGAUCGUACUAAAAGAGAAAGAUGGCUACAGGCCACAGUGCAGCUGCCCUGGUGAUAAUACUAAAGACUCUGCCAACACUGGAAGCUGUUACUGCCCUGGGGAACAAAGCUUUGGAAAGCCUCAGAGCACAAGAUUCUUCUGAAGUUUUGACCGUGCUGACCAACAAAACUGGCUUGAAAUCAGUUCUUCUGAUGCUCCAGUGAAGAUUCUCAUUACAAUAGUGUCACUCAAUCUUGGAAAACUGGACCCCAAAGUCUAUUUGGAUAGCAAGGUAUUGCAGAAUGCCUUGGCAGUCAUCUGCCCUGCCUGCUGGAUUGAGAGAAGUGCCUCUCAGUCCAUAAAGUUCUCAUCAGACUACUCAAGGACUUGAGGAUUUGUCUUCCUGGCUUUGAGCCACUCACAUUCUGGAUCCUUGACCUACUGGGUCAUUCUGCUGUGAUGAACAACCUCACCAGACAGCCUUUGGCCCUAAAUGUUGCAUAUGAGCAUUGCUUGCAAAUUCUGGCUGCAGGACAGUUCCCACCAGGGUCACUGGGUGUCACUGACCCCUGUGAGAGUACACACAGUCAUGACCAUGCAACUGCAGGACAUGGUCUGCCACACAGCUCUGACUCUGGUCUGAAUCCUCUGGUGGCUUUAGGAAGAUCCUUGGCCAGGAGGACGAUGCCAGCCAUCUUGCUUCCAAAAUAUCUACCUGGGAUGGAGUGAUAGUAACACCUUCAGAAAAGGCUUAAGAGAAGCUGCCAGAGAAACAGGGAGGAGAGGAAGAAAAGGAGAAGACAGAAGAACCACCUCAAGGAGAGAAAGAGGAAAGCAUGGAAACUCAGGAG